AAUAAGUCAAUCUUUCACUUUUUAGUUACAAUGUUUGAUGCUUCAUCCUAUUUAAAAAUAUUUUACGAUUAAUAUUUUUGUUUUUAUUAGAUGAUAGUUUAUAAAUAGUACUUUACGUGUGAUUAAUUUUUUAAUUUCGUGAAAAAUUUUCAAAUAAGACGAAUGAUCAAAUGUUGUACAUAGACGAUUAAAAGUUUGCCUUAUU
rnacentral:pre_miRNA from 1 species